rnacentral:rRNA from 1 species
GAAGGUCCCAAGCGUUGUUCGGAAUCACUGGGCGUAAAGGGAGCGUAGGCGGCGUGGUAAGUCAGAUGUGAAAUCCCGGGGCUCAACCCCGGAACUGCAUCCGAUACUGCCGUGCUUGAGGGUUGGAGAGGUAGCUGGAAUUCUCGGUGUAGCAGUGAAAUGCGUGGAUAUCGAGAGGAACACUCGAGGCGAAGGCGAGCUACUGGACAACAUCUGACGCUGAGGCUCGAAGGCUAGGGGAGCAAAAGGGAUUAGAUACCCCUGUAGUCCUAGCAGUAAACGGUGUGCGCUUGGUGUGAGGGGAUUCGACCCCCCUUGUGCCGGAGCUAACGCGUUAAGCGCACCGCCUGGGAAGUACGGCCGCAAGGCUA